rnacentral:rRNA from 1 species
UACGAAGGGGGCUAGCGUUGCUCGGAAUCACUGGGCGUAAAGGGUGCGUAGGCGGGUCUUUAAGUCAGGGGUGAAAUCCUGGAGCUCAACUCCAGAACCGCCUUUGAUACUGAGGAUCUUGAGUAUGGGAGAGGUGAGUGGAACUGCGAGUGUAGAGGUGAAAUUCGUAGAUAUUCGCAAGAACACCAGUGGCGAAGGCGGCUCACUGGCCCAUUACUGACGCUGAGGCACGAAAGCGUGGGGAGCAAACAGG